CGAACUUCCGUUAAUUGAUUAUGACGUGCUUGCACUGAAUGAGAUUUUAACACGAAGUGAGUGGCGGACGGGUGAGUAACACGUGGGUAACCUGCCCAGAAGCAGGGGAUAACACCUGGAAACAGAUGCUAAUACCGUAUAACAGAGAAAACCGCCUGGUUUUCUUUUAAAAGAUGGCUCUGCUAUCACUUCUGGAUGGACCCGCGGCGCAUUAGCUAGUUGGUGAGGUAACGGCUCACCAAGGCGAUGAUGCGUAGCCGACCUGAGAGGGUAAUCGGCCACAUUGGGACUGAGACACGGCCCAGACUCCUACGGGAGGCAGCAGUAGGGAAUCUUCCACAAUGGACGCAAGUCUGAUGGAGCAACGCCGCGUGAGUGAAGAAGGGUUUCGGCUCGUAAAGCUCUGUUGUUAAAGAAGAACGUGGGUGAGAGUAACUGUUCACCCAGUGACGGUAUUUAACCAGAAAGCCACGGCUAACUACGUGCCAGCAGCCGCGGUAAUACGUAGGUGGCAAGCGUUAUCCGGAUUUAUUGGGCGUAAAGCGAGCGCAGGCGGUCUUUUAAGUCUAAUGUGAAAGCCUUCGGCUCAACCGAAGAAGUGCAUUGGAAACUGGGAGACUUGAGUGCAGAAGAGGACAGUGGAACUCCAUGUGUAGCGGUGAAAUGCGUAGAUAUAUGGAAGAACACCAGUGGCGAAGGCGGCUGUCUGGUCUGUAACUGACGCUGAGGCUCGAAAGCAUGGGUAGCGAACAGGAUUAGAUACCCUGGUAGUCCAUGCCGUAAACGAUGAUUACUAAGUGUUGGAGGGUUUCCGCCCUUCAGUGCUGCAGCUAACGCAUUAAGUAAUCCGCCUGGGGAGUACGACCGCAAGGUUGAAACUCAAAAGAAUUGACGGGGGCCCGCACAAGCGGUGGAGCAUGUGGUUUAAUUCGAAGCUACGCGAAGAACCUUACCAGGUCUUGACAUCUUCUGCCAACCUAAGAGAUUAGGCGUUCCCUUCGGGGACAGAAUGACAGGUGGUGCAUGGUUGUCGUCAGCUCGUGUCGUGAGAUGUUGGGUUAAGUCCCGCAACGAGCGCAACCCUUAUUACUAGUUGCCAGCAUUCAGUUGGGCACUCUAGUGAGACUGCCGGUGACAAACCGGAGGAAGGUGGGGACGACGUCAAAUCAUCAUGCCCCUUAUGACCUGGGCUACACACGUGCUACAAUGGAUGGUACAACGAGUCGCGAAACCGCGAGGUUUAGCUAAUCUCUUAAAACCAUUCUCAGUUCGGACUGUAGGCUGCAACUCGCCUACACGAAGUCGGAAUCGCUAGUAAUCGCGGAUCAGCAUGCCGCGGUGAAUACGUUCCCGGGCCUUGUACACACCGCCCGUCACACCAUGAGAGUUUGUAACACCCAAAGCCGGUGGGGUAACCUUCUA
rnacentral:rRNA from 1 species